rnacentral:lncRNA from 1 species
GCAUCGCGGCGGGACCCGGAGCCCGGAGUUCGGGGGAGGAGAGAGGAGGACGCGAAUCACACCCGCUGCUGCGCGCCAGCCCGCCCCGUCUGUACAAUGGGAUGCUCGGGACUCGGACGGGAGGAUCCAGUGACUGCGAGCCCCGCAUUCGCCCGAUCCCAGCCUCACACCCCCAGCCAGCCCCCAGAGACCCUCCCACACUUACGAAGGAAAUGCAUGCGGCCAGGAGGAGAAUCCGCACCAGGAGCAGGGAGCUCUACCCAGGAAAAAGAAGAAAAGGACAGAUUCAUUUGGGGUUCAGCCUCAUGCCCCCCACACCCAAGACUUUGUGGCUAAGAGAAUCAGGCCACCUUGAGGUUCAUCAAGUUCAUCCCAUUAAAACCUCCCAAAACUCUGG